UACGUAGGGUGCAAGCGUUGUCCGGAAUUAUUGGGCGUAAAGAGCUCGUAGGCGGCUCGUCGCGUCUGCUGUGAAAGCCCGGGCUUAACCCCGGGUCUGCAGUGGGUACGGGCGGGCUAGAGUGCGGUAGGGGAGACUGGAAUUCCUGGUGUAGCGGUGAAAUGCGCAGAUAUCAGGAGGAACACCGGUGGCGAAGGCGGGUCUCUGGGCCGUAACUGACGCUGAGGAGCGAAAGCAUGGGUAGCGAACAGG
rnacentral:rRNA from 1 species